rnacentral:hammerhead_ribozyme from 1 species
GUCCAGCUGAUGAGCCCCAAAUAGGACGAAAUGCACAUCCUGGAU